AAGCAAAAAAUGUGAUCAGAGGCCUGAAAAGCAUGAUUUAGGAGGAAAAUCUGAAAGAAGCAGGGUUAUUUAGUCUGGAGAAGAGAAGGAUGAGAGGGUAU